ACCUCCGUGGCGCAAUGGAUYAGCGCGUUGGACUUCUAAUUCAAAGGUUGUGGGUUCGAGUCCCACCGGAGGUA